AACGCGAAGAACCUUACCUGGGUUUGACAUCCCCGGACCGCCACAGAGAUGUGGUUUCUGUAGCAAUACAGCCGGGAGGACAGGUGCUGCAUGGCUGUCGUCAGCUCGUGUGGUGACAUGUUGGGUUAAGUCCCGCAACGAGCGCAACCCUUGUCCUUAGUUGCCAGCAUUCAGUUGGGCUCUCUAAGGAGACUGCCGUGGUGAACACGGAGGAAGGUGGGGAUGACGUCAAGUCCUCAUGGCCUUUAUAUCCAGGGCGACACACGUGAUACAAUGGACGGUACAGAGGGAAGCGAAGGAGCGAUCUGGAGCCAAUCUCAAAAAGCCGUUCUCAGUUCGGAUUGGAGUCUGCAAUUCGACUCCAUGAAGUUGGAAUCGCUAGUAAUCGCGGAUCAGCACGCCGCGGUGAAUACGUUCCCGGGCCUUGUACACACCGCAUAC
rnacentral:rRNA from 1 species